rnacentral:snRNA from 1 species
AUUGCUUCUCAGCCUUUUGGCUGAGAUCAAGUGUAGUGUCUGUUCUUGUCAGUUUGAUGUCUGGUGCGUCCUCUGUCUGAGGACAAUAUAUUGAACGGAUUUUUGGAGCUGGGAGAUGGAAUGGAGGCUUGCUCUGUCCACCCCACGCUUCAACCUGGUGUUGCUGUAUCUCCAGGAACGGUGCACCAAAA